AGAGACAGCAGCAGCCACGGGAAAACGAAGGGUGCAAGCGUUACUCGGAAUUACUGGGCGUAAAGCGUGCGUAGGUGGUGGUUUAAGUCCGUUGUGAAAGCCCUGGGCUCAACCUGGGAAUUGCAGUGGAUACUGGGUCACUAGAGUGUGGUAGAGGAUAGUGGAAUUUCCGGUGUAGCAGUGAAAUGCGUAGAGAUCGGAAGGAACAUCUGUGGCGAAGGCGACUAUCUGGGCCAACACUGACACUGAGGCACGAAAGCGUGGGGAGCAAACAGGAUUAGAUACCCCAUAGUCCCUGUCUCUUAUACA
rnacentral:rRNA from 1 species